GUCGAGCGGUAGCACAGAGAGCUUGCUCUCGGGUGACGAGCGGCGGACGGGUGAGUAAUGUCUGGGAAACUGCCUGAUGGAGGGGGAUAACUACUGGAAACGGUAGCUAAUACCGCAUAACGUCGCAAGACCAAAGUGGGGGACCUUCGGGCCUCAUGCCAUCAGAUGUGCCCAGAUGGGAUUAGCUAGUAGGUGGGGUAAUGGCUCACCUAGGCGACGAUCCCUAGCUGGUCUGAGAGGAUGACCAGCCACACUGGAACUGAGACACGGUCCAGACUCCUACGGGAGGCAGCAGUGGGGAAUAUUGCACAAUGGGCGCAAGCCUGAUGCAGCCAUGCCGCGUGUAUGAAGAAGGCCUUCGGGUUGUAAAGUACUUUCAGCGAGGAGGAAGGCAUCAAGGUUAAUAACCUUGGUGAUUGACGUUACUCGCAGAAGAAGCACCGGCUAACUCCGUGCCAGCAGCCGCGGUAAUACGGAGGGUGCAAGCGUUAAUCGGAAUUACUGGGCGUAAAGCGCACGCAGGCGGUCUGUCAAGUCGGAUGUGAAAUCCCCGGGCUCAACCUGGGAACUGCAUUCGAAACUGGCAGGCUAGAGUCUUGUAGAGGGGGGUAGAAUUCCAGGUGUAGCGGUGAAAUGCGUAGAGAUCUGGAGGAAUACCGGUGGCGAAGGCGGCCCCCUGGACAAAGACUGACGCUCAGGUGCGAAAGCGUGGGGAGCAAACAGGAUUAGAUACCCUGGUAGUCCACGCCGUAAACGAUGUCGACUUGGAGGUUGUGCCCUUGAGGCGUGGCUUCCGGAGCUAACGCGUUAAGUCGACCGCCUGGGGAGUACGGCCGCAAGGUUAAAACUCAAAUGAAUUGACGGGGGCCCGCACAAGCGGUGGAGCAUGUGGUUUAAUUCGAUGCAACGCGAAGAACCUUACCUACUCUUGACAUCCAGAGAACUUAGCAGAGAUGCUUUGGUGCCUUCGGGAACUCUGAGACAGGUGCUGCAUGGCUGUCGUCAGCUCGUGUUGUGAAAUGUUGGGUUAAGUCCCGCAACGAGCGCAACCCUUAUCCUUUGUUGCCAGCGGUCCGGCCGGGAACUCAAAGGAGACUGCCAGUGAUAAACUGGAGGAAGGUGGGGAUGACGUCAAGUCAUCAUGGCCCUUACGAGUAGGGCUACACACGUGCUACAAUGGCAUAUACAAAGAGAAGCGACCUCGCGAGAGCAAGCGGACCUCAUAAAGUAUGUCGUAGUCCGGAUUGGAGUCUGCAACUCGACUCCAUGAAGUCGGAAUCGCUAGUAAUCGUAGAUCAGAAUGCUACGGUGAAUACGUUCCCGGGCCUUGUACACACCGCCCGUCACACCAUGGGAGUGGGUUGCAAAAGAAGUAGGUAGCUUAACCUUCGGGAGGGCGCUUACCACUUUGUGAUUCAUGACUGGGGUGAAGUCGUAAACAAGGGUAA
rnacentral:rRNA from 1 species